GAAUUAUUGAACUAAAAAAAAGGGAAAAAAUUAUGAUCUUCCUUCACAUUUGGCUGUACCAAAAGAAGAUAGGGGCAAGAAAAAUACAACAAAAAAGAGAAAAAAAAAUAAUUUCAAAUCUUCAACGUGUGGUUUUGCUUGUUCUAUGUGUUUAUCACAAGGAUGUAUCAAACUUUACACUGGUGGCCGGCAACCAAUCCUCGCCGUUGAGGAAGGUCCUGACAGUGAACUUUCCGGCCUCGGCGUCCGUAAGACUGGGCCUGUAACCGGCCCAUCUAACCCUCUUGUCCACGCUGGAUCCAGGCCCAGUAUUCUGAUACUCCCCAUAAAAUAUGCUGCUGGGUGGGUCCUGCCCGCUGACCCAUUCCUUCCACCCCACGGGCUGCAGGAAUGCUCCGAUGUCCGACUGCAUAAUCACCGUGGUGGAAAACUCCUUCCAUGGCCGACCCAGGUAAGUGGGGGCGGUUAGACUGUCGUUGUAGGCCGAAAAAGUGCAUUUCUGAAUGGAAAUGCCGGAGUUUUGGUUGAUGUCCUUUUUGCCUUGGGCUGUGAUGGUGUUAAACUGGUUGGGAAGUGGCUGCCUCGGCCGGAUGUUGCAGUUCUGGAACACCACGGCGGCGUUGCCGAACAUGAAGUCGAUGGUGCCAGUGAUGUCGCAGUCUCGGUAGAAUUGACGGUUUGAGUGGGCGUAGAGUGUGUCUUGAUAGCCAUCAAAUGAACAUCCGGACAUCACAGAAAGGUCGGAGCCUGACCGGAAGGCAACAGCCUGGUGCUUGGCUGGACCGGCCGUGUUGAUGAACCCCAUGUCCUUCCCAAUGAACCCUUUGCCAGCAACAGCAAAAGUGGCGGUGGAGAAGGUGGGAGUGCCGUCGAUGAAGUUCAGGUGGCCCGAAACAAUGGUUUUGGUUCUGCCAUCUCCAUACAUCAUAACGUUCCACUUGUUCUUGUCCAGAAUCACAUUCUCUUCGUAUAUUCCUUCUUUUACAUGUAUGAUGAAUCUUUCUUUGCUCUUCUUUGGCACCGCCGCUACGGCAUCUUUGAUCGUUGUGUAGUGCCCUUUCCCAUCCUUCGACACCGUCAUAUGCGCCGUCACAUUGUUCUCCUGCAGAAGCCUUCGAUCGCCGGAGCUUAACCACUCCGGGAGUCCCAUCAGCUUCCGGUGGAUAGGGAUGUUGAAAUCAGCCAACAGUCCAAGGAUUUUCGUUACAAUCGCUAAACUAUUGCUAGUAAACUCAGUAGAGUUCGCCAUUGCCGUUUGCAAGUUUUGGAGAAGCGUCGUCUGGUUUAGAUCUCGAACUGCGUCGAGGCAGGUUUCUUGAUCUGUGAUUGUAGUGCUCAGCCAGGUUUUCAGAUCUUCAAUCCUAGACGGCGACAAGAACUUCUCACUAUGGUGAUCCACUUCCAUGGAUGAAACGGUGUCGUUUAGCGUGUCAAUGGCAUCUUCAAAAACACUCCGGCAGAUUUCAAUGGCGGCUUUAACCUUCGGAUCUCCAGUAUUGGAAUUGAGAGUAGAGGUAUAAUCGGAAAGUUUCGAGAGGGAAUCGGUGGCAACUCGGAGAGAAAGCUUGAAGAGAAAUACCGGAUCGGUAGUGUUGGAGUUUUGGAGAGAGGACUGACAGGAACUGGGAUACUGAGUAACACUACAGAGAGUUUUGAGUGAGGCAGCGGGAGUGAGCUCGGUGGGAGGAGCUGAGCUGGUGGGCGAUGAAGAAGAAGAGUUUCGUUUAUGAAUGACAAUUCCGACGACGGCGCCGAUGACGAGAGCAAUUAGAAGAAGAAUGGAAAGAAGGAGUAUGAUUAGCCGGCGACGAGUCUUUUGGCGGAAAGCUUGCUGUUCGAGCUCGUCGACCUUGCCGUAGCCCUUGAAGGACUUGACGGUAUCCAUGGAUUUCAGAGUUGGGGUUCCGUUCUA
rnacentral:misc_RNA from 1 species